rnacentral:lncRNA from 1 species
CGGAGCUAUGUUGGGGCGGCAGCGGGGGUAAACAAACAGCCCGGGGCGCCGGGGGCCUCGGCCGGGAGAGCUGUGCUGAGGGGUGAACACAACCAUCGGGGCUCUUUUACUCACCCCGUACACAACAGGCUAAAACCUGUGCAGCUCCCGUGUCCGGGCAAGCCUUGCUUCAGGCGUUUCUGGCUACUGAUAAACCAAGAGUGAGGGGAGGGAAAUAUAUAAGGAGCUUCUGAUACGCUGAAAUCCUCAUUUGGAAUCAAAUGUGUAACGACAAGGGAGAGAGCUGAGCUUUGUCUCCAUUUUACAUAAUUCUGCAGAAUUUAUCUGUUGGCUUCUAGGUUGCUGCAGUAAAGGCAAGAGAUUCUCCCAAGGGGUAUUUGAAAUGAAGAAGACAUCUGGAAGUUGAAGAUUCAUCCGCCAGUUUUCCAGUACGGACAGAGGCUGCAGCUCUGUGACCCUCUUUGCCAGAUUUGUGCACUGCAGGAUCAGUUGACUUUACACAAAAAGCCAGCAGGCUUACAGCUGCACCAGGCUGCCUCUUUUGAUGCAUUUAGGCAGUUUUAAACCAGGGAGGAAGAGGAAACAGGGAAAAAAGGAACAAGAGAGAAAAAAAGAGACUCCAGUUCAGAGACUGCCUAGCAUUGCUGAAGACCUUCUACAAAACCUGCUGUCCCACAGAUCCACAGUGAAGCUGCUGUAUAAGCCAUGUAGCCAGAGACUCAGCACUUUGCCCAGUUCUGCCAGACUUCUGGAAUGAAUGCUACUGUGCCUCCCACCCCUCCCCAUCUGUUGCUGGGAGGGUAUCUCCUGGAAGCUCAGAAGCCUUUUCUUCAGGCUAUGCUGAAUUCAUGUUACAAGGCUGAUCAUCCUCUGCUGCUCUGGGCUGUGCUGCUGAGAGGAAGGAAAAUGAACUCCUUGUCUGGUGAAAAAUGCUCUCCAUGAUCCUAGCUCUGCUGUCUGACUGAAAUAUGGACAUAAAGCACUAGCUCUGGCAGGCAGCUUCAUGGAAGAGAAGAGUGACUCGGGCAAAAUACUGAUGGGCUCUGCACUCAAAGUGUAACACUGUGACCAAACUGUAUACAACAAAGGAACUUGAAGUGCUCCUGACAGCUGCACUGGGGCUUCAAUUCUAUUUUGGGUUGGGUUGUUGUUUGUUGGGUUUUUUUUUCCAAAGCUAGAACAAAAGAGGAAGAAAAACAAAAUAAAGAAGAGCAUUAAAAAAUCA